GCAUCCGUAGCUCAGCUGGAUAGAGUACUCGGCUACGAACCGAGCGGUCGGAGGUUCAAAUCCUUCCGGAUGCACCA
rnacentral:tRNA from 1 species